CAGCAGCCGCGGGAAUACGUAGGUGGCAAGCGUUGUCCGGAAUUAUUGGGCGUAAAGGGCUCGCAGGCGGUUUCUUAAGCCUGAUGUGAAAGCCCCCGGCUCAACCGGGGAGGGUCAUUGGAAACUGGGAAACUUGAGUGCAGAAGAGGAGAGUGGAAUUCCACGUGUAGCGGUGAAAUGCGUAGAGAUGUGGAGGAACACCAGUGGCGAAGGCGACUCUCUGGUCUGUAACUGACGCUGAGGAGCGAAAGCGUGGGGAGCGAACAGGAUUAGAUACCCCAGUAGUCCCUGUCUCUUAUAU
rnacentral:rRNA from 1 species